rnacentral:rRNA from 1 species
CCCUACGGGAGGCAGCAGUGGGGGAUAUUGCACAAUGGGGGGAACCCUGAUGCAGCGACGCCGCGUGGGUGAAGAAGCGCCUCGGCGCGUAAAGCCCUUUCAGCAGGGAAGAAAAUGACGGUACCUGAAGAAGAAGCCCCGGCUAACUACGUGCCAGCAGCCGCGGUAAUACGUAGGGGGCAAGCGUUAUCCGGAUUUACUGGGUGUAAAGGGGGCGCAGACGGCGAUGCAAGCCAGGAGUGAAAGCCCGGGGCCCAACCCCGGGACUGCUCUUGGAACUGCGUGGCUGGAGUGCUGGAGGGGAG